rnacentral:rRNA from 1 species
CCCUUAGAUGCUCUGGGCCGCACGCGCGCUACACUGGUCGAUGCAACGAGUUUCUUUCCUUGGCCGACAGGCCUGGGCAAUCUUUGAACAUCGAUCGUGAUCGGGAUAGAUUCUUGUAAUUUUUGAUCUUAAACGAGGAAUUCCUAGUAAACGCAAGUCAUCAGCUUGCAUUGAUUACGUCCCUGCCCUUUGUACACACCGCCCGUCGCACCUACCGAUUGAAUGGUCCGGUGAAAUCUCCGGACUGGCGUGAGUCGGAGCAAUCUGACAAACGCCGGAAGGUUGAUUAAACCUUACCAUUUAGAGGAAGGUGAAGUCGUAACA